rnacentral:rRNA from 1 species
AGUGAACGUUGGCGGCGUGCCUAACACAUGCAAGUCGAACGAUUCCCGAAUAGCUUGCUAUUUGGGAAGAGUAGCGAACGGGUGAGUAACACGUGAGUAAUCACCCCUCGAGUGAGGAAUAAUUCCGCGAAAGCGGGACUAAUACCGCAUAAUACUCUGGGGCAUAAGCCUUUAGAGUCAAAGCUUUCCGAGCAAUCGGAUGGCGCUUGAGGACGAGCUCGCGGCCUAUUAGCUAGUUGGUAGGGUAAUGGCCUACCAAGGUUAUGAUGGGUAGCCGGCUUGAGAGGGUGUACGGCCACACUGGGACUGAGACACGGCCCAGACUCCUAACGGGAGGCAGCAGUGGGGAAUUUUGCGCAAUGGGCGAAAGCCUGACGCAGCGACGCCGCGUGGAGGAUGAAGGCCCUUCGGGUUGUAAACUCCUGUCAGAGGAGAAGAAUUCCCGAGCAAUUCGGGAUUGACGGUAUCCUCAGACGAAGCCACCGCCAA